UUCCAAGGCUUCUGGAGGAGUUUGAGAGGUCCCUCGACAGAGCUGCAGCCCUCUGCAAGGCAGACACCACAUCCCCUUUGUUCGGAGGAGCGCGGUAACGGGAACGCAUCAGCAGAGAAAGGCAGAUCAACGCCAAGCAUCUGGAAGCUGAAGACGGAGAAAACCCAAUUAAAAAUCAGGCAAUGCUGCGAGUGGAGCAAGCCAUGAAGUGAUGGAUUAUUCAUUCCACGAUGUCUUCAAUUCAAGAGAGGGGCAGAACAAUCGAUCCUUCCAGCACUUCCAUACUGUUGGUUGAUGAUGAACACUCCAUCCCAACUUUUGGGAGAGCCAGGCCCUGACUUGGCAAACUGCAAAGUUCCCAUGGAUGAUGGAGGACAAUCCACCAGCCCUACUAGGGUGAAGCCACCCUGGGGCACUGAGCCCUCAGUAAAGCAGAGCUGGAAGAAGAACAAAGUCAACCCAGGCCGCCCUAGCUGAAGUACAUGGGAAA